UGAGCAAUCUGCCCUACUCAUCGGAAUAAGCGUUGGAAACGACGUCUAAUGCCGAAUACGACCUCCUUUCGCAUGAUCGGAGGUGGAAAGCUCCGGCGGAGAAGGAUGAGCUCGCGGCCUAUCAGCUUGUUGGUGAGGUAAUGGCUUACCAAGGCGACGGACGGGUAGCCGGCCUGAGAGGGUGACCGGCCACACUGGGACUGAGACGACGGCCCAGACUCCGUACGGGAGCA
rnacentral:rRNA from 1 species